CCUACGGGGGGCAGCAGUGGGGAAUAUUGGACAAUGGGGGGAACCCUGAUCCAGCCAUGCCGCGUGUGUGAAGAAGGCCCUCGGGUUGUAAAGCACUUUCAGUGAGGAAGAACGCCUGGUGGUUAAUACCCAUCAGGAAAGACAUCACUCACAGAAGAAGCACCGGCUAACUCCGUGCCAGCAGCCGCGGUACAUACGGAGGGUGCGAGCGUUAAUCGGAAUUACUGGGCGUAAAGCGCGCGUAGGUGGCUUGAUAAGCCGGUUGUGAAAGCCCCGGGCUCAACCUGGGAACGGCAUCCGGAACUGUCAAGCUAGAGUGCAGGAGAGGAAGGUAGAAUUCCCGGUGUAGCGGUGAAAUGCGUAGAGAUCGGGAGGAAUACCAGUGGCGAAGGCGGCCUUCUGGACUGACACUGACACUGAGGUGCGAAAGCGUGGGUAGCAAACAGGAUUAGAUACCCGAGUAGUC
rnacentral:rRNA from 1 species